GUAAGAAGUGCCUUUCACCUCCCGCCAUGAUUCUGAGGCCUCCCCAGCCAUGUGGAACUGCGCUGGGAAUACAAAGCCUCACUAAUAUGUGGUGUCUGCUUUCAAGGAGUUUGAAGUCAAGCACAAGGAAAGUUGGCAACUUCCGACUCUGAUGAACUCACACAAACCCCAAAGAGAAACACUGGCUCUGAAGGAAACACUUCAGUUGUGUCCCUCUGAUACUGUUUCAGUUGGUUUUUCUUCGAUGCGUGGUUCCAGCCUAUUGAGUUGUUUUGAGUUCUGACUGUGCUGUCUCAGCUCUGUGUCACCAACAGAACUGAUAAGUAUACCUUCUGCUACCUCUCCUAGGUUUUUGGUAAAAUUACCAAGCAGCAUAGGAAAAAAGACAAUUUUUGUUCCUGUGUUGGGGGAGGAACAUGUUUGAUUGUAACCAGACAGAGCCUUGUGAGACCACCUUAUAACUUCGAUUCUGAAAUUAUUAAGCAAACCCUUUUUCCUUACUUUCCUCUAACCCAGAAUUUUUCAACUUCUGCCCUAUUGACAUUUUGGAAUGGAGAAUUCUUUGUGUUGGGGGCUGUCCUGUGCAUUAGAUGAUGUUUAACAGCCCACUGACUUCUACCCUCUAGAUGCUUGCAGUCCUGCCCCCUCCCCUCACCCAGACACCAGAAAUGUCUUUAGACUGUCAAAUGUUCUCUGGAGGGACAAAAUUGCUUCUCCUUUCAUUUACAAUCACUGCUGUAGCCUCAUAAAUGAUUAAACAAUCAAGUAUUUAUUAAGAACCUACUAUUUGCCUAGGACCUAAUGAUUUCUGUGAACACUGAAGAAGACAUGGUCCUUUACUUCAAGAAGAUUAUACUGUAAGAGACAUGACCAAGCCCACAGAACAACUGGAAGAAGAAAAGCCCAUUACUGAGUGAUGCGUUCCUAGGUGUGAAGCAAGUGUCUGACCUUCAGGAAGCUGCUCCCUCUGCAGUGCUCAGCUGGACCCUGGGUACCUGGCUGAAGACUUUGGACUUUAACCUGGAGAUGAUGGAGAGUAUGCAGGAUAAAGUCCAUACCAAAUCCAACGCCUAGCAAAUGGAGAACAAGCCAAAACUAACAAGAUAAAAUGUAGCAGGAAAAAGUGCAAAGAGCUGAAGUGUGGAAUAAGUGGGAGAGGUCUGCCAUGCCCUAUCUGACCUUGCUGCCAUGAUCUUUAAGGCUGUGUGUCCUGGUUGGUGCAGCUACAAGAUGUCAGAAAUGCCUAAGUGAUGGUGUGGAACAGAGGAUCCCUCUUCUCACCAUUGUCUUGCAUGUUUCCUUGUGUGAACCACAAAUAAACUUUUGUUAUGUUAA